UACAGAGGUCUCAAGCGUUGUUCGGAUUCAUUGGGCGUAAAGGGUGCGUAGGCGGCGCGGUAAGUCGGGGUGUGAAAUCUCGGAGCUUAACUCCGAAACUGCAUUCGGAUACUGCCGUGCUUGAGGACUGGAGAGGAGACUGGAAUUUACGGUGUAGCGGUGAAAUGCGUAGAGUAUCGUAAGGAAGACCAGUGGCGAAGGCGGGUCUCUGGACAGU
rnacentral:rRNA from 1 species